GACGAACGCUGGCGGCGUGCUUAACACAUGCAAGUCGAACGGUAAGGCCCUUCGGGGUACACGAGUGGCGAACGGGUGAGUAACACGUGGGUGAUCUGCCCUGCACUUCGGGAUAAGCCUGGGAAACUGGGUCUAAUACCGGAUAGGACUCCUGGCUUCAUGGUUGGGGGUGGAAAGCUUUUGCGGUGUGGGAUGGGCCCGCGGCCUAUCAGCUUGUUGGUGGGGUAAUGGCCUACCAAGGCGACGACGGGUAGCCGGCCUGGGAGGGUGACCGGCCACACUGGGACUGAGAGAGUGCCCAGAGUCCUACGGGAGGCAGCAGGGGGGAAUAUUGCACAAUGGGCGCAAGCCUGAUGCAGCGACGCCGCGUGAGGGAUGACGGCCUUCGGGUUGUAAACCUCUUGCAGCACCGACGAAGCGCAAGUGACGGUAGGUGCAGAAGAAGGACCGGCCAACUACGUGCCAGCCGCCGCCGUAA
rnacentral:rRNA from 1 species